rnacentral:tRNA from 1 species
CCCUACUUAGCUCAGUUGGUAGAGCGUUCGGCUGUAGACCGAACGGUCGCUGGUUCGAAUCCGGCAGUAGGGA